AUGCGGAUCGGGUCAGAGACGGGACUUGGAGAAAACAAGGCCGAUGAGCGCUGCGGAUUUUGGCUAUUUGGAGGAGAACAGCUACAAAUCUGUCUACCUGGGAGUGCCUUUAGUCAGGAGAUGCCAGGGGCAAGCUGGAGUGGGCAGUGGAAAAGCUGGAGGAGAAAGCAAGAAGCCCACCUAUGUUGCUAUGGCCGGAUCCUGGCUGAGGCGCGAAAGCUCCUGUUAGACCUGUUCGAUGGGCUUAUGAAGCUUGUAGCUUCCUCUUUGGUUUUUGGUUUUAGAGCUUUUGUGCUCUAG
rnacentral:rRNA from 1 species